UAAAAUGCUAAAGUAUUUAUCAUGAAAGCCAAUUUGCAAGUCACGGAGAACACAAUUCAAUAAAUUGAAAUAUAUAUUUUGUCAAGUCAAUUGUUUUAUUUACAAAUAAUUAAAUUUUGACCAUUUGACAUAGCCGAUUCGUUCUGCCGUAGUAGAAAAUGGUUUUUCUAGUAGUGAUAGUUGUUUGGUACCAUUCAUUUUCUUUCAUUGAUUCUCGCUCUAGCUCAUCUUUCUCUCUUACUCAAGAGCGUUAAGUUUCUGGUGCCAAAGAAUGACAAGGACUCUCCAAAUAGCCUUUAAGUGUGUGCUUUGGUCCAACCUGGGAGCUAGGGUUUGUUUGGCUUAUUGAAAACGCUUUAAAAGCCGUCAUUGACAUAUUCCUCACUCUCAUCGCAACUUCAUCGAUUCAGCCGAAUUGGGGAUGGGCCGGAUAUGGGCCACGGUGGAGGACUUGGGCCGCAAUAGGGCCCAGGUGUUGUCGCUGUACCGAUAAAUACUGCGGGGCCUGAACUUGCCAGAGUUGCGACUGGGCUUCGCGGCGAGGCUGGCAAAGAAGGCGGAGGUGCGUGCAAUGUUCUGGGUGGGUUCUGAUGAACGCUCGUUGCACAACAUUGCAAAUCUCAUUGAUGCUGUAGAGUACUCUCUCUCUCUUCUCAGAAAAGGACAACUCCCUCCUCGUUACAUCAAAUGAUCAAUGUUGUUUUUCGAUGUAGAUACAUUUGUAUGCUUAUUGGUUUUUUUUUCUUCAAUGUAGAUAUAUUUUUUUUCUCUAGGGAAAAAACGUGAAGUAAAGUGUGUAUUAUUAGGAGAGUAGCAUUCUAACUAGAUUGUUAUGUAUGGUGAGUCACUUGUGGCUGGUGUUUAAUAUUUAAUAUAAAUAAGAGCACAAUGUAUAUUUUCUGCAUCUAUCAAUCAA